rnacentral:rRNA from 1 species
UACGUAGGGUGCGAGCGUUGUCCGGAAUUACUGGGCGUAAAGAGCUCGUAGGUGGUUUGUCGCGUUGUUCGUGAAAACUCACAACUCAAUUGUGGGCGUGCGGGCGAUACGGGGCAGACUGGAGUACUGCAGGGGAGACUGGAAUUCCCGGUGUAGUGGUGGAAUGCGUAGAUAUCGGGAGGAACACCAGUGGCGAAGGCGGUUGCCUGG